rnacentral:rRNA from 1 species
GACGAACGCUGGCGGCGUGCUUAACACAUGCAAGUCGAACGGAAAGGCCCUGCUUUUGUGGGGUGCUCGAGUGGCGAACGGGGGAGUAACACGUGAGUAACCUGCCCUUGACUUUGGGAUAACUUCAGGAAACUGGGGCUAAUACCGGAUAGGAGCUCCUGCUGCAUGGUGGGGGUUGGAAAGUUUCGGCGGUUGGGGAUGGACUCGCGGCUUAUCAGCUUGCUGGUGGGGUAGUGGCUUACCAAGGCUUUGGCGGGUAGCCGGCCUGGGAGGGUGACCGGCCACAUUGGGACUGAGAUACGGCCCAGACUCCUACGGGAGGCAGCAGUGGGGAAUAUUGCACAAUGGGCGGAAGCCUGAUGCAGCAACGCCGCGUGCGGGAUGACGGCCUUCGGGUUGUAAACCGCUUUCGCCUGUGACGAAGCGUGAGUGACGGUAAUGGGUAAAGAAGCACCGGCUAACUACGUG